GCCUGGGUGGCUCAGUUGGUUAAGUGUCUGACUUCAGCUCAGGUCAUGAUCUCGUGGUCUGUGAGUUCGAGUCCUGCAUCAGGCU
rfam:Felis catus isolate Cinnamon breed Abyssinian chromosome B2, whole genome shotgun sequence.